rnacentral:rRNA from 1 species
GACGAACGCUGGCGGCGUGCUUAACACAUGCAAGUCGAACGGAGUGGCGAACGGGUGAGUAACACGUGGGUGACCUGCCCUGCACUUCGGGAUAAGCCUGGGAAACUGGGUCUAAUACCGGAUAGUGUGGGAUGGGCCCGGGGCCUAUCGGCUUGUUGGUGGGGUAAUGGCCUACCACGGCGGCGACGGGUAGCCGGCCUGAGAGGGUGGACGGCCACAAUGGGACUGCGGCACGGACCAGAGUGCUACGGGAGGCAGCGGUGGGGAAUAUUGCACAAUGGGCGGAAGUGUGAUGAGGCGGCGCGCGGGGGGGGAUGACGGCCUUCGGGUUGUAAACUCCGUUCACCAUCGACGCGGUAGAUGGAGAAGAAGCACCGGCUAACUACGUGCCAGCAGCCGCGGUAAUUC